rnacentral:rRNA from 1 species
AACUAGCAACCCAAGUGGUGGUCGUUUUUAUUUGGCUUAAAGCGUCCGUAGUCGGAUUUGUAAGUUUCCUGUGAAAUCCUUGCGCUUAACGUAAGGGCUUGCAGGGAAUACUGCUUAUCUUGGAGCCGGGAGAGGUUGGGGGUAUUCCUGGGGUAGCGGCGAAAUGCUAUAAUCCUAGGAGGACCACCGACAGCGAAGGCACCCAACUAGAACGGGCUCGACGAUGAGGGACGAGAGCUAGGGGA